GACGAACGCUGGCGGCAGGCCUAACACAUGCAAGUCGAGCGGAGCGGCGGACGGGUGAGUAAUGCCUAGGAAUCUGCCUGGUAGUGGGGGAUAACGUCCGGAAACGGGCGCUAAUACCGCAUACUAUCCGGUGAGCCUAGGUCGGAUUAGCUAGUUGGUGGGGUAAAGGCCUACCAAGUCGACGAUCCGUAACUGGUCUGAGAGGAUGAUCAAUCAGACGGGAACGUAGACACGGGCCAGACUCCUACGGGAGGCAGCAGUGGGGAAUAUUGGACAAUGGGCGAAAUCCUGAGCCAGCCAUUCCGCGUGUGUGAAGAAGGUCUUCGGAUUGUAAAGCACUUUAAGUUGGGAGGCGUUACCAACAGAAGAAGCACCGGCUAACUUCGUGCCAGCAGCCGCGGUAAUUC
rnacentral:rRNA from 1 species